rnacentral:rRNA from 1 species
CAUCACUACGCUAGAUGCAUAUCAAUAAGCGGAGGAAAAGAAAGUAACUAGGAUUCCCCUAGUAACGGCGAGUGAAGCGGGAAGAGCUCAAAUUUGAAAUCUUAAAGGUUUUCCCUUGACGAAUUGUAGUUUAAAGAAGUGUUUUCUGUUGAAGUUUCGGUAAAAGUUCUUUGGAAUAGGACAUCAUAGAGGGUGAGAAUCCCGUAUUUGACCAUUAUUUCCAGCUUUGUGAUACACUUUCAAAGAGUCGGAUUGUUUGGGAAUGCAGUCCAAAAUGGGUGGUAAAUUUCAUCUAAAGCUAAAUACUGGCGAGAGACCGAUAGCGAACAAGUACCGUGAGGGAAAGAUGAAAAGAACUUUGAAAAGAGAGUUAAACAGUACGUGAAAUUGUCAAAAGGGAAGCGUUUGACACCAGUGUUGUUUAGUUGAAAAUCAAUUCAAUAAUUUUUGAUUUUGAGUAGUAUUGACUUCAUCAGCUUGCUGCUUUCUUUUCGGAAAUUAUUGAAUGCACUUUUCAGUUAACAAGUCAACAUCAAUUUCUUUUGUUGUAAAAGGGUAAGAGGAAGGUGGCUUACGCUUCGGCGUAAGUGUUUAUAGCCUUUUACCUCUGCAAUCGGAGAGAUUGAGGACAGCAGCGUAGACUCUUCGGGGUUAGAUACACUUGUGCUAAGCUAUAGCCUUGUAUAGACAACUUGUUGACUAUGCUCAGUCAUGUAGCUUACUCGCUUGUGCUACUUUACCUACGCUUAGGAUGUUGACGAGACUGUCGAUCUC